rnacentral:misc_RNA from 1 species
AAAGUGCGACAAGUGUCAUGACUUGCAGAUACCCGAGAGCUGACAAAUUUCUGAAUGCAAAUUGCAGCCAAGUUAACCUGGCUAUACAAUGCAGAGAGUACUUCGCGUAUGCGCUUACUCUGGGGUUGAGCACAACUUCGGUUGUCACUUCUGGGACCUGCGUGAUUGAGCAAUGUUGACGUUGGCACACAGACACGCAUUCGUGUGUGUAUGUGUAUCAUCUGUCCAAGCUCUCCCACGUUAAAGUCAGAAAACCAUCGAGUUUUCCUGAACUAUCUGAGAAAAAGAGUUUUAUCUCUUACAUCUCACUUCUCACCUCUGCAUUGUAGGAGAACCCGCUGAACUUAA